AUACUUACCUGGCAGGGGAGAUGCCAUGAUCAUGAAGGUGUAUCUUCCAGGGUGAGGCUUAUCCAUUGCACCCCGCAUGUGCUGACCUCUAUGAUUUCCCCAAAUCUGGGAAAUUCAACUGCAUAAUUUGUGGUAUUGGGUGACUGUGCUCACUUUUUUCCU